GUCACACCCGUGAUCACGUUCACAUUCAGUGGAGUUCUUUCACCACUAUUCUUUCUGAUCAAAAGUUGUUUCAUCUUGGUGGGUCCUCUAGUGGAUCUGGUAGGGGGAGUCUCAUCCCCUGAAGAAUGUGAAGAAUGUGGAUGAUCAACCAUAUAUCUGUCACAAUAAAUAGCAACAUGAAAUAUUAAUAAAAGACAUAUGUAAUAUCAUAUAAUUUAACAAAACAUGUAAUAGUAAUCAUAUAAAAGGAAAGCUUAUACAGAAAUUGGAAAUUCAUACAUAAAGAUAUGGAUUCAUCAUAUCUAUAUUCCCUCAUCAUGAUCUG
rnacentral:lncRNA from 1 species